rnacentral:lncRNA from 1 species
AGUGAAGCUCUGGCUGCCCUUGGAGCCAGCAGAGCCACGCUUAAGUGGCUUGGACUGCUUUCUGCUCUGGACCCCUGGUUUUUAAUCCUGGUUCCCUCCUUGUCAUGGAGAAGGGGUGGUAUUCUUCAUUUUUUCUCAGUCCUGGAGCAGAGAAGAACAUUCUUUGCAUCGUCCAUCUGCAGCUGUUUACAGCUAAGGGGGAUGCUGUACCAUCUACUGUGUUCCUGUGAGCAGUAAGAGACCUACUGGCUUUCAUGUCAUUUCCAACACUUGGUGGACCUCCUUGCCCAUCUGGCAGAUGAGCUGAGUUCUUGACACAUGUCAGGUACCCGACAACACCUGUAACUCCAUCUCCCGGAGUCUGACCCUUCUCCUGGCCUCCCAGGCACCUGUACUAACAUGCCCAUACAUACCCACAUGCAGACACGACUAAGCAAUUCUGUUUGGAGCUCAUUUUUAGAGGCAUCAAAGGUGUUUGACUCAAGUUUGAACCCAGGAUCUCCUCAGACGUCCUUCAAACAAGUAUCCUGCAAUGAUUCAGAAACCCCACAAACAGAAAUGUUAGCAAAAGACCCAGGAAAGCUGACCUUCAGCCAUAGUGCCAUGAAGCUUUCUUCUUCUUGACCAGCAAAGGACAUCAUCAUCACCACCACCACCAUCAUCAUCAUC